GUGGAUUAGAUACCCUGGUAGUCCACGCCCUAAACGAUGUUUACUGGCUGAUGGGGAGAGAUCUUCAGUAGUGAAGCUAACGCGAGAAGUAAACCGCCUGGGGAGUACGGUCGCAAGAUUAAAACUUAAAGGAAUUGACGGGGACCCGCACAAGCGGUGGAUGAUGUGGAUUAAUUCGAUGAUACGCGAAGAACCUUACCUGCUCUUGACAUGCUAAGAAUUUUGCAGAGAUGCGAAAGUGCCUUCGGGAACUUGGACACAGGUGCUGCACGGCUGUCGACAACU
rnacentral:rRNA from 1 species